rnacentral:rRNA from 1 species
UACGGAGGGUGUAAACGUUGCUCGGAAUCAUUGGGCGUAAAGCGCACGUAGGCUGCUCGACAAGUUGGAUGUGAAAGCCCUUGGCUCAACCGAGGAAGUGCAUCCAAAACUGGCGGGCUUGAAUCUCGGAGGGGGCCAGAGAAUUCCCGGUGUAGAGGUGAAAUUCGUAGAUAUCGGGAGGAAUACCAGUGGCGAAGGCGCUGGCCUGGACGAAGAUUGACGCUGAGGUGCGAAAGCGUGGGGAGCAAACAGG